UGCAAGGGCAUCAAUAAAGGGGAUUUUUCAUUUUGUAGAUGGGCGAGAUGGUCAUUUCAAGGGGGUCUAUAUGUGUCUGAGUGCAAGAGCGAUCGAAUCUUGAUCAUGUCCAGCAUGGGAUACAUGCAAUGAGUUGGGAGCACUAUGACACACAUCCCAAGGUGCUGCAGCCAUUGGGAUGCUCACUGCACCCCUCCCCUCCAAGAGAGGAUCUAGAUGCCACACAUUUAGGUGAUGUUCUUUUUCCCUUAUAUUAUUCGUUUUAUUAUGCAUGAUAUUAAUGGGUUGUCCUUAGGUUUUCAUAUAAAAGUGCUCACGACUAGAAAUAAAAUUGUGCAUGCAUUUGUGUAAUGUUCUUUUGUUGCCUCUUGUUGGAGAGUUUUCCAUUUGGGCUAAUUUCAAAGUUUUUUUGACUGAGAAUUGGAUUACCUUUCUUUAGUUGUUGCUUAAGGGGUUCCUGAAGGUAGGGAUGUUAUUCUUCCUUGAUGUGGUUGAUCUAGAGACAUUGUAAUGACUCAGGAUCUACAUUGAAACACGGGCAUCGAUUCAUCAGAAUACAUGGCACAAAAUGAUUAGAUGCAGAUUGCACAAUAUUUGCUAUAGGGAAAAGACCUAUCAUCUUAUACCCUAUUCCUUUCAAUACACAGUUCAAUCCAUUGAUACAUACACACAGUAGAAGGAAAUACGAGAGAUGUCUAGUAGUUUUUCAGUAUUUUACUCUAGACCUUCUUCCUAUAUUCUCAUGACAUGUAAAAGCCCUUUUACUCGGCUCCAUCCGUUUGGGGAUAAAUGUUUAAUUAGCUCGUUUAGGGUUCAUUUAGACUAAUUAAAGACCGAUAUUCGACCAACCAUAUAAAUGAAACUAUAUCUAGCCUAUCGAUCAAGAGUACUAAAGAUCGAUAUCUUAAAGUGAAAAGGACCGAUUAUGCCCGACCCGCCCGACUGAUUGACACCCAGGGAAGAACAUUCUCGGAUCAACCUCGCGAUUUCGGUGGGUCUAUAUGGUCAUAGACGAGAAAGGAGAAACUAGGGUUUUUCUAUCUAUAUAACGCAGCCCGCUUAAACUACUUACAGCGCCUAGUCACAAUUACGGUAGUUCUCUAUAGACGAGAAAUUAGGGUUUUUCUAUCUAUAUAACGGAGCCCGCCGAUGCCACUGCAGCUUCAAGAUCUUUCUGGUUUGCACUUCGGGUUAGGAUUAGGGUUAGGGUUAGGGUUAGGGUUCACCAUUGAUUUGAUCGGUAAGAAGCUUCGGCUUCACUUGUUCUACCAUGUCCAUCGCCAUUGUUAGCACUUCCUGUUCUUCUUUCUCUACACUCGUGGCUUUUCGAUUUCUUUUUCCGUUUUCUUUCGUUCAUGUUUCUAUCUGCACGGUGCACCCCGGGCUUCUCCGAAUCAUCGUUGACGAUGAAAGCCCCAUUGCGCGUGCUAAAGUGUGCCAUUCAGUGUUGCAGUUUAGCUUCGAUUUCUUCAACAGCUGUUCUGUGUCAAACAACAAUUUUGGAGGACGAUGGCUGAGAUUGCUGCAAGCCUGGAAGUAUGUAACAUCGACUACAUGGACGACUAGAGCUAACCCACUUGUGAAUUUUUAUUUGUAACAUCGCAUAUAUUAUGGAAGCAUAUUCAAGACAAAGAAUGUAAAUUUUUUGUUUUCUUUGGACAAAUGCUUAAAUGUAUAAUUUCAUUAAAGCUUGAGGUUGUAAGUUGAAUGCAUUUGUAAUCUAUAUUUUUAUUAAUAAAAUAAAAAAAUUGGUUUA